rnacentral:lncRNA from 1 species
CAAGAGGAUUCUUGGUAAUUCUCUAAUUGUUCUUCUAAUUGUUCUUCUAAUUAUCUUUGUUCUUCAAUAUUAUGAAUAUGACUUUGUUCUACUUCAAUAUAUUGCUUAUGACUUUGCUCUACUUGUUUAUAUUCAAGAUUAUAUUGUUCUUAGUUUAUCAUAGUUAUAUACUUGGCUUAGUUAGAUUGGAUCUAUAUACAUGUUU